rnacentral:rRNA from 1 species
UGGGGAAUAUUGGACAAUGGGGGCAACCCUGAUCCAGCGACGCCGCGUGUGUGAAGAAGGCCUGCGGGUUGUAAAGCACUUUUAGUGGGGACAAAAAGCUAAGGGCUAAUACCUCGUGGUCUUGAUUUAACCCAAAGAAAAAGCACCGGCUAACUCUGUGCCAGCAGCCGCGGUAAUACAGAGGGUGCGAGCGUUAAUCGGAAUUACUGGGCGUAAAGCGUGCGUAGACGGUUUCGUAAGUCGGGUGUGAAAUCCCCGGGCUCAACCUGGGAAUUGCAUUCGAAACUGCGAGGCUAGGGUACGGAAGAGGGAAGCGGAAUUUCUGGUGUAGCGGUGAAAUGCGUAGAUAUCAGAAGGAACAUCAGUGGCGAAAGCGGCUUCCUGGUCCAGUACCGACGUUCAGGCACGAAAGCGUGGGGAGCAAACAGGAUUAGAUACCCCCGUAGUCC